rnacentral:rRNA from 1 species
CAGUCGCCGCGGUAAUGCGAAGGGGGCUAGCGUUGCUCGGAAUGACUGGGCGUAAAGGGCGCGUAGGCGGUUUGCACAGUCGGGUGUGAAAUUCCUGGGCUUAACCUGGGGGCUGCAUUCGAGACGUGUAGGCUUGAGUGGGGAAGAGGGUCGUGGAAUUCCCAGUGUAGAGGUGAAAUUCGUAGAUAUUGGGAAGAACACCGGUGGCGAAGGCGGCGACCUGGUCCUUUACUGACGCUGAGGCGCGAAAGCGUGGGGAGCAAACAGGAUUAGAUACCCGCGUAGUCCCUGUCUCUUAUAC